rnacentral:rRNA from 1 species
UACAGAGGGGGCAAGCGUUGUUCGGAAUUACUGGGCGUAAAGGGCGCGUAGGCGGCCUGCUAAGUCGAACGUGAAAUCCCCGGGCUUAACCCGGGAACUGCGUCCGAUACUGGUGGGCUUGAAUCCGGGAGAGGGAUGUGGAAUUCCAGGUGUAGCGGUGAAAUGCGUAGAUAUCUGGAGGAACACCGGUGGCGAAGGCGGCAUCCUGGACCGGUAUUGACGCUGAGGAGCGAAAGCAUGGGGAGCGAACAGG